AGUGUGGGGAACCGAGGUCGCCUUGGGCUGUCGCCUCUCCCUCUCCCAGAAGGAAUGAAGAGGUUCUUGGAAAGCAGGGACGGGCGAUUCUCUCUGUCAGCAUCAGCUCCCACCAGCGAGGACGGGGCGAGAAAGCGAAACGGGACUUUCCUUGCUGUCUAUUUUUUCUUCGUCAGGCCAACGCCGCUUGCUUGCAGGGGCGCAGGCGAGUUCCCGCCAAAUGGCGCGGGUGCGUGAGUUGCCGCCAAAUGCUAGCUCUGGAUGCCAGCUCGUUCCGCGUCUCAUGGUAGACUAGUUGGUGCAUUUCUUUUAUCAUGGACUGCGCAUAUAAACGCAAGCUACACAAAAGUGACAUGGACAAGAACAGCGCAAGCCCUUUACAUGCAGUGGAGCCGCCGUAUCUCGCCGUUCAAGAUAUGCGUACUCGAAGAAAAAAAAAAGAGGCUUUACAUGAGAACGGAUCAACUCUCGAAGAGUUGGGACAGGGAAAUGUGAGACGUACUUUCAUGUAUAUAUUUCUAAUAUUAUUUUUUCGUCUUGUAUUCUCGUUAAUUUUUCUCUAGGAAACACUGGAACGACACUGCUUAAAUUGAAGCACAGUGUGCGAAUGACCUGCUACGCUCGGAACUGUUAUCACCAUUCGGGAAGAAAUUGGGUAAGAAUGGAUUGUGUGUGGCGCGCUUCACCGCAUGUGGACUAGAGUAGAUCUAGGAACAUCAGACAAGAAGACACGUAUGUGAAACCCUGCGGAUAGCCCAUAUGUGAACUUUCUUUCCAGAUACGGAGGAACGGACACCGGUCGUGCCGUGAGCACUAUUCUGCAGGGCAUACUUACAAAUGAAGCUGCACUGCAGUUCAGCUGGAAAGGGUCGCAGGGGAGGAAGCACGCCUUCGUGAAGCUCAUGGCCAUCACGAAUAUAACAUCUGUGAGGAGCACGUUCCCUGACGCUUCACUAGCAUCAGUGGCUGGAGUCGCAAAACGCUGGUUGGUUGGAGCAGCUGACAGGGAUGGAGGCCGGAAUGAAAGAAGGCGCCGUACCCUGCUUCAAGCCCACCAAAUAUGAACUAGUGUUUGAAACUUGUGAACGUGUCGGUGUACAUAUACAAUUACAAGAAAUAAAGACCUGUAUCAGAA